GACAGAGGGGGCAAGCGUUGCUCGGAAUUACUGGGCGUAAAGGGCGCGUAGGCGGGAUGGCAAGUCGGUCGUGAAAUCCCUCGGCUCAACUGAGGAUCGUCGAUCGAUACUGCCGUUCUUGAGGAUUGCAGAGGAGACUGGAAUUCCCGGUGUAGCGGUGAAAUGUGUAGAGAUCGGGAGGAACACCGGUGGCGAAGGCGGGUUGCUGGGCCGACACUGACGCUGAGGCGCGAAAGCCAGGGGAGCGAACGGG
rnacentral:rRNA from 1 species